rnacentral:lncRNA from 1 species
AAAACAUGCAAAGUGAAACACAAGAAUAAUACUAAUCCCAUAUGGCCUCAAACCUUUGAGUAUAAAUAAAACACCUUUUAUUUAUCACCAUAUCGAUUACUCAUUAUUUGUCGUUUCGGGUAAUCAACUUCUUACUUGAAUUAUUACACUUGUCCCAUGCUCCUAGCAUGCACACAAUGUUUACCUAUGGUUCUUACUUUGUGAAAUAGAUCAAAUUGAACACAUUUCCAAUCAUUCUCAUUUCACAACUCCAAAUCCUUUUUCAUAAGUGAAAGAAUAUCAAAUUCUUGCUACUUAUAGAAUAUGCUAGAUUCUAACAUUUUAUGCAAUGAUCCUUUCGUAAUGUCACUGCACCAAAGUCACAAAGACUAUUGCCAAUGAUAUUACAAAGUCCUCUAUCGGAGAUUGUUACAAGACAAUUCCUUAGAUAUGAUGUCUCUCACUCAAAGUACAUUCCUUUGAACAUCCUUUUGCAUAAAAGUUUCUAAUCUAGACAUAGAUUUUCAAUAUUCAAUUCCCAAUAUGGACACGUUUCCAUAUUUUCCAUAUGACAACUCAUUCUUAAUAGAAUCUUAUCUAUUCAUAAUAAUGUCGAUAUGGUCCAUCCAAUAUGGAAACAUUUCCAUAUUUUCCAAUACUAUACUUCCAACUACUCACAAGCGACCAAUCCUCGUCGAACUUUGGAUUGUCCUUUGAUAGUUGUUUAAUUAUUUUAGUCAAAACCGAUUCUAGUCCCUUUUCCCUCUAAAUGCGCUAGACAUUUGGAAAAUUUUAGAAUGGUCAAACAUUAAAGCAUUUGCAAUCGAUCCUAUACCCGAAGCGUAUGGGACACGACGCAUAAUGUUUUAUUUGCUAUGUUCUCAAAAUUCGAAUUGUGAAGAGGAAUGCCGUAAUCAUAAUCGAAAUUUUAAGAACACACUAUGUACCUUUGACUAAAUUUAUUAACAUUUCUCAACCUAAUCCUUUAGAUUUGAAAUGAAGCAUAAUAUUCUCUCCCUUAAUUAUAGCAAAACAACCUUUCAACUCUUACAACUUUGCAAAGUAUGACUCUUGUUUUCUAUAAUUAAUAUUGCUAACCUUGCAAUACUUUCCUUAAUAAUCAUACAAUCAUAACAUUUAUGCUCCCACUAUUAUGAUGAUUAUUAUAAACUUAACACUUAUGCUCCCACUAGCUUCGACAUGUAUUCAUAAACAUCUUAACUUUCAGAAAAACAAUACCUAUUGAAUUUCAUAAGUCCAUGUUUCUAAUACCUAAUGCUUUGAUAACCUUUUAUCAAGGAAUUUUGAACUUAUACACCUUUGCCUUAGAUAGUUCAUAUGUGUGUCUAAACAAUUAAGACUAAUUGCCAAACCUCACAAUUCAAAUUAUGGAAAGGGAUACCGUAAGCAUAAUCGAAUUUGAGAAUGCAAUUUUACAAUCACUAUCUUCUUAAAAUCUUUCUUAGUGAAAGCAUUUCCUCAUAAUCAUUUUCAUGAAGGAGGAAAUCUUAUGACACUUAGAUUUAAACGGUGUAUUUGUUCCUAUUCAUGUGAAUUUGUCAAAACCAAAGUUUACGACAAAUUCAAACUCAUAUGGAUCGAACUUUCUUAAUCUCGAUUUCUUGCCUUAUGGUAGCACAGCUGCCCACCAUGUCUUCCAAGUAGUUAAGCAGCUCACCUUUUCUUAUCAAUGUACUUUCCAUUGAUCAAGGUCCUUGCCUUUUAUGCAUUCAAAUGAGAACUCAUAGGACUCACAUGCAUAAUUAACUCGAUUGGAUUGGCACAGAAACAAAAUAAUGUCAACACGAUAGGUUGUAAACCUCAACUCGUGUGCUAGUGAUGAUCGAUAAGGUUUAUUUGAUUUGUUCUUGAAACCUUUCAAGACCAUUAAGACUCCCACUGACUCCUUGACAUAUAAGAUUCUCUUGUCAAUAAACAUUUCUUGACAAACAAAUAUUCAAGAGUUAGUGUAGNNNNNNNNNNNNNNNNNNNNNNNNNNNNNNNNNNNNNNNNNNNNNNNNNNNNNNNNNNNNNNNNNNNNNNNNNNNNNNNNNNNNNNNNNNNNNNNNNNNNNNNNNNNNNNNNNNNNNNNNNNNNNNNNNNNNNNNNNNNNNNNNNNNNNNNNNNNNNNNNNNNNNNNNNNNNNNNNNNNNNNNNNNNNNNNNNNNNNNNNNNNNNNNNNNNNNNNNNNNNNNNNNNNNNNNNNNNNNNNNNNNNNNNNNNNNNNNNNNNNNNNNNNNNNNNNNNNNNNNNNNNNNNNNNNNNNNNNNNNNNNNNNNNNNNNNNNNNNNNNNNNNNNNNNNNNNNNNNNNNNNNNNNNNNNNNNNNNNNNUGGGUUGCAUGGCAUCAUGCCUUUGGAUAGGCUAAAAUGAGAGAAAUAACACUCAUGGUUUAUUAAUAUAUUAUAAGUUCUAAUAUAUUAAUAAUAUUAUUUAAUUAGUAUUGAUCAAGAAUUAAUUUAGAAUUAAUUAAGUGAUCAAGAGGUGACUAAUUAAAUAUAUGGGUUGGUUGUGUAAAUUAUUUAUACUUGUAUAGUGGGCUAAUGCUCCAUGGAUUAUCAAGUUGGGAUAAAACUCAUAAGAUGCUCCAUGGUGGUUAUAUAACCCAUGGGUCAUGGAAAUGAAAGGUCAUGUCAAUUAGGGUUUACAUGGUGUAAUCCAAAUUGUAACACGCUAUAUAAGGACCCUUAUGUUCACCAAAAUCGGCACGAAAAGCAAGACUGAAGAGGGCUAGCCGAUUUCUAGUAGUGUGACAUUUCUCUCAAAGUUUAUUCCAAGUGUAUUUGGUGUUGUGUGAGACAUUUGAGGCAUCACACUUGGGGUGCUAGGCUCUCAAGGUUUUCCAAGGAAUCCAAACUACUACAAGGUAUGUUCUCUACCUAACUUUUAUAUUGAAAAGUUCCCCAUGUAUGAUAGAUGGGAUUAUGAACCUUGGAAAUCAAUUUUUGCAUAUAUCUUAGUCACACAUAAAUCCAAGGUUUCUAGGGUUGCAUGAACACCUUAGGAGUGUUAGAUUGCUCAAAACCCUACUGUGGUAUCAGAGCCUAGGCUUGUUUGUUUGAUACUUGUUGCAAAAUAGCGGAAAAAGUCGAAAUUCUUGUUGUCUGCACAGGAGACUCGCCGAUUCCAUGGGGGGACUCAACGAGUCCAAGCGUAUCUGCAACCAACUCGGCGAGUCGGUUCUUGCACUCGACGAGUUGGCUAGGUAGAGUGAAGAACACCAUAGGGAACAUACCUUGUAGUCAAACAUAGAAUGCUUAAAACCCUACAAAGUCCUGGCUUGGGAAGUGUUUUGCUAUGAAGGACCUCAGAGAAGUUGCUUGUAUUCUAGGGAUAAGGAUAUUGAGAGACAGGAGUAAAAGACUAAUUGGACUUAGUCAGAGUUCCUACUUGGAUAAGGUGUUGAAAAGUUUUAACAUGAUGGAUUCCAAGAAAAGUGACUUACCCAUCCAAGGCAAUACCAAACUGAGUAAAACUCAGAGUCCGAGUACAGAGGCUGAAAUAGUUGAGAUUAUUCGAGUACCAUAUGCUUCCGCAGUUGGUUCGAUCAUGUAUGCUAUGACUUGUACUCGCCUUGAUGUGGCAUUUGCUUUGAGCAUGGUCAGCAGAUAUCAAGGAAAUCCUGGUAAGGCUCACUGGAUUGCGGUAAAGAACAUUCUCAAGUACCUGCGGAGGACUAAGUAUUGAUCCCCUCGGUGGGAGUGAUGACAUGAGAGUAAUGGGGUAUAGUGACGCCAGCUUUCAGACCAUCAGACAUAAUUUCCGCUCUCAGUCAGGCUGGGUAUUUACCCUGAAUGGAGGAGCAAUAAAUGGGAAAAGUUCCAAGCAGGACACUGUAGCUUAUUCAACUUGCGAAUCAGAGUACAUAGCAGCAAGCGAGGCGGCGAAGGAUGCAAUAUGGCUAAAGAACUUCAUCGGAGACCUUGGAGUUGUACCAGCUAUAAAGGAGCCUAUUGAGAUUUUCUAUGACAGCGAUAGUGCGAUUCCUUUAGCUAAGGAACCAAGGGAUCAUGGCAGACCCAGGCACAUCGACAAAAAAUAUCACUUCAUAAGACAUCGAAUAGAAGAAGGGCUCCCUGUAGCAAAGAGGGGAUCCUCAUAGGAAAACCCAACAGAUCCCCUCAUGAAGGGACUGAGUAGGGUUAAGCACUUACAGGAUGCGAGGUACAUCGGGCUGAAGGACGAUUUUAGUUUUAAUGACUGUAUAGAAUUUUAGAAAGUUGUAAUAGUUGAAAUGUAAUUGACAUUUGAUGAUUGAAUAAAAGGUGUUUUUUAUUUAUAAGUAAUGUUACUAUUUUGUGUAAAUCAUUUACUAUUGUUUCAUUUUGCAUGUUAUGACUUCCAAAAUAAAUAUAUUAUUCAAACUGUCCACAGCCGAUCAUACUUUGGAAGUAGGUAUUGAGGCGAGACUGUCAUGAAUUUGGCUUGUAGAUUGUCUGAAGUGUAUUAGACAUAGCAAAGUUUGCUACAACAUUCAUGAGUGCUCAUAAGGUCUGAGUAUUGGAUUAAACCCACGCUCACUUGAAUCACUUCAUGGAAUUUAUCUCGAGUGAUCGUGACACGAUAAUAUCAUAUAAGUCUUCAAACCAAGAUAUAUGAGUUAUUGACUAUGAGUUGGUUGUACAUUGAUAGUGCGAAACCGCAUUAGUAACUUGAUGUUAUAAAACACACUAUUGUGUAUGAUUUAACAAGUAGUUAGUACAAGCAUAUAAUGUCGAAGUUUAUUUGUUCCUUUUAGUCCUUGGAGGAUUAAAAGCGAUAUCUUGGGCCCCUCGAUGAUUUUGUUUUGACUUAUGUUAUGGGCCCGGUCAGAACUCAAUUGAUGUGUUCGAUUAAGUUUUAUGUCAAACAAAUCGGAAACCGGGAAACAAACAGUCGGGCAAUUAGUAUGACAUUGUUCCAUGUAUUUGUCCAACUGAUAUCUUGAAAAACAUAGGAUUAUAUGAUGCCUUGUCUAAAUGACAUGACAGAAUUUGACAGAGGCUUUUAAGAGCUACGAUUUCUAGUCGGUUCCUGAACUCGUACUUGCAGCUAUAGUUAUUAGACUUAUCCAAGUGGGAGACUGUUGGAUUUAGUGUCUAACCCCAUAACUAUAAUUGGUAUGUACUUGACCCGAGAGUAGCAUGGUCCAUUUGGGUUGCAUUUCACCUGAACAAUUUGACAGAAUGCAUUUUUGAGAAGAGGAUAUUUAUGAUUUAUUAAUAUAUUAUAAGUUCUAAUAUAUUAAUAUGAAAUCAUAUUAUUUAAUUAGUAUUGAUCAAUAAUUCAUUUGGAAUUAAUUUGGUGAUCAAAAUAGACUAAUUAAAUGUAUGGGGAUUGAUUUGGUAAAUCAAUUAUUCUUAUAGUGUGGACCAAUGGUUAUUUAGGAUGGGUUAUAAGUACAUGGAUAGUCCAUGGAGGUUUAACCCAUGGAGCCUAAGUAAUAUGAAAGGUCAUGUCCGUUAGGGUUUACAUGGAUGUAACCCUAGACUUUGUCACACUAUAAAAGAAGCCCCUUAGCUCCUAAAAUCGACACUAGUGGUUCUAGGAGAUCGUAAGAGCCGAUUUUUGUGCAAGUCUCUCUCUCUCUCAAGUCUUCCAUUGUUGGUGGUGUUUUGUGAAGCAUUUGAGGCAUCACAUUUGGGGCGCUAGGCUCUUAAAGGUCCAAGUUAACAAGCUACAAGAAGAGGUAAGUCAUCUAACUAGUUUUUGUUAUUCAAGUACCCAUGCUUUGUAUGUUGGUUAGGACAAUGCUUUGGAAAAUCAAAUUGCAUGUAUAAUUAGAGAAAACAUAGAUCCAAAGCAUUUAGGGUUGCAUGUGCACNCAAUAUAUAUAUAUAUAUAUAUAUAUAUAUAUAUAUAAUCAUGCUCAAACAUACAAUGAUCAUAAACAAUAGCAUACGUUUCAGUUAUCGAGCCUCACCCGACAUCGAGCCUCGCCCGGUAUACAUAGCAGCACAUAACACAUGCAAGGGUCAUGCAGACUUCUAGCAUCCUAACAUAAACAAUAAGGGUCGGCAUUGGUGCCUUAGACCCGCUAAACUCAGUGAGGAAACUCACCUCGACUGCCGAAUCUCACUAAAAAAUCCUGGUUGCUGGUCCGACAAAUCCCCGAGCUAUCAAUACCAAAAUAACACCCAAUUAACAUUUAGGUUCCAAACCAUAUCCAAUAAUCCAUACUCGGGGUAAAAGUACCAUUUUACCCCUAACUUUGCUUGGUCCAAGACUAAGGCCCAAAAGCCAAUUAAUCAACCAAGGCCCAAUUAUGGCCUAAUUUUCCAAAUUAGGCCCAAACGCCUUACAUGAGCGUUAACCUAAAACCCAGCCAUUUUUCCUAGUCCAAAACACUUACACUCGGAUGGCCCAAUAAGAACUCAAACAACCAAGCCAAAAAGAAAGCCCAAACUCAAAGCCCAACAUGCAAAAUUUCACCUCGCUGAGUACAUGGGGCGUACUCAGCUGUACGCCAAGCGUACAUGCAAAAAGACUUGUACGUUGUGCGUACAAACUUGUACGCCCAUCGUACAUACCCAUUAAACCAAAUUUCUCUUUAAGCUCUUAAUGCUUAAGUCCAAAAGUCUAAAUCACAGAUCUCAGCCCUAAUAAACAUCUAGAACCAUAAAGUCACUAACUUGGUGACUUUGCAUGCCCCAUAAAGGCCCAACUUCAAGAUAUAGCAUAAUACUUUCACCAAAUGGACAUAAACUCAUGCAUGGGGAUUCUAAACCCUAAAGGUGCCAACUUUAUAGACCUUAAACCUCAGAAACACCAAGAGUGGCAACUCAUAGCUCCUGGAGUGGUAUUAACAACUAUAUCUCAUUCUUGGGGCCAAAAAGGGACCAAAACUCAUAUAAUAGAUCUAAGCCAUAAAUGAACAAGUUCGUAGCUUUAUACCUUAAACAAGUUGGAAAUUAAGCAAAUAAUCAAGAUCCACAAGCUCUUCCUUGAUCCACCACCUUGCACCAAGCCUCUACUUUUUGAAUAUGGACCAAAACACACCAAAAUGGACACAAUGAGCUCAAAACACAAAGGAGAUGCUUAGGGCUUUGAAUAUGAGGCUAAAAGGUCAGAGGAAGUUGAGAAAUAAGGGUUUCAUGAGCCAUAAAGAUGAUUAUAUAGUGUCCAACCCCAAAAUUAGGGUUUUCAUUAAAGCACACAUUCGCCCCGCGUGCAUGGAUGUACGCCUCGUGUACGUGUCCGGAACCCCGUCCAAGCCUCGCAUGAGUACGCUAAGCGUACAAUGUGGUACGCCCCGCGUACAUGCUUUGCAGUUUGUAUGCCAAGCGUAUCAUGUGGUACGCCCCGCGUACAACACAAAGACCAAAAUGCAAUUAAUCAAUACACAAGGGGCAAUAAUGAACAUACCAGGAUUCCAAAUGUUACAUUAUAUCAUCAAUACAAAAAUGAGUUUAAAAAUUGAAUAUAAAUAAUUUAUAAAAUAAAAAAAUGUUUUAUUUUAUAUGUUUGUAAGCAUAAAAAGAUAAAUGGUUUUGCUUUUGUAAAAUGGUUUUGACAUUGUAUAAAUUAAAUGUGAAUAACAACACCGUGUGCAUAGUAGGACAUUUUAUUUAAGUGAACUAUUAACUUUUGAUUUUUUCAAAAAGUUAAAAAAUUAUAAAAGAUUUGAAAUUAUUUUUUACAUAAGAAUAGAUGGUUAUUUUUUUAAAAUACAACUUUUACCUUUUAAAAAUAUAAACUAACUUUAAAAAUCAAGAAAUAUUAAACAAACCUUUUUAAAACAUAAAUUAACUUCAAAAAUCAAAAAAUAUUAAACAAACAGGUAUUUUUCACUUUUUUGAAGGUGAUCGUUUGACUUUUACCCCCUCAAAAAAGUUUUUUUACACAAAAUAAAAAAAUCAAUCCCAAACUCCCGUAAACCAAUAUGCGUAUACAGUAACAAUAAUCCAAACUCGAAAGCAUCAAAUUAGACAAAAAAAAUAAUGGAGUUUGAAUAAACAUAAGUAGACAAACUUGAGUCCAAUAAUUGACUGAAUCUCAUCUAUUGCAUAAACAUAGAAUCACUCAAGAAGAAGAAUUCCACAAGAAAUUAAAAACUAAUUGAUUCGUGAGCAUCAAUUACACAUCCGAUACACGGUGAUAUCCGAUGAAUUUGUAUUAAGAGAAUCAUUCGAGAUGAAGAAUUCGACAAGAAAUUGAUAAAAAGUAACUGAAUUUGUAUUAAGAGGCAUCAAUUACACAUCAUAUCAAUUCAGAUUACAUAAUCUAACUAAUAAAAAGCCUACACCCAGAAACGAAAAGAUAGCAAAUUUCUAUCAACCACCAAAUCCGUAGAGAGUACGACCUUGGCGCUUCAAAGCAUAAACGACAUCCAUGGCAGUAACAGUUUUCCGGCGAGCAUGCUCGGUAUAUGUGACGGCGUCACGGAUGACGUUCUCAAGAAAGAUCUUCAAAACUCCACGGGUCUCCUCGUAGAUUAACCCACUGAUACGCUUAACACCUCCUCGUCUGGCCAGACGGCGGAUCGCCGGCUUGGUGAUACCUUGGAUGUUGUCCCGGAGAACCUUACGAUGUCGUUUGGCUCCUCCCUUUCCCAAUCCCUUGCCUCCUUUUCCUCUCCCUGACAUUUUUUUUCUCUCGCUUUCUCUCUCUAGAAAUGAGUUCGAUUUUCGCUUGUGUUUGAAACCGGCGUGAGGGUUUCUACUUAAAGGUGGAAUAUGAUCGUAUGUUUGUAUACAUCCGUUGGAUGAGAUGAAAUAAGGGCCAUAUGAGCCGUACGAUUGCAAUCCGUGUGAUGAGCUAUUAGAGCUGUUGAUUGGUUCGUUUGACAUGUGCUGGAUCUAGGUGAGGGUAACUCGGGUCAUCCAUUGUGCAACGUGCUAAAUAAGUGGGUAAGAGUAAUUAAUAUUUUUUUAAAGUGUAUUUAAAUUGAAUAAUCGAUUAAGGUGUUGUAUCAUUUUAUUUAUUGGAUUUAACGAGGAAAUAAUUAGUUUGUGUAGACAUAUAAUGGUGUUUUUUUAUUUAAUAUGUAAACGUAAGCUUAAUUGAUUUAUUAUGUUAUGUAGUAUUUUAUUAUUUCACGUAAAAUGUUUAAAACACUUUUUCGAACUAUCCGGGUGUAAUAUAUAAAUUUAAAACUAAAAUUAGAAUAUAUAAAAAAAAUUAACAAACAUAAAUUAAAAAUAUAGCAAGGAGUUCAAAUGGACAAAAAUUACAUGUGAAUAUUUAGAAUCGGAUUUUGUAAUCUUUCUAUUGUCAAACCAACCAAACAAAAAUAUUAGGUGCUUCUCACGAAGGAAAUCGUUUGGUAAAUAACAUUAUUUCGGUAGCUCUAUAUCACUCAUGGAGUAAUAGGAAUGCCCACUAUCUUAUUAAACAUUUUAUAUAUGUCUUUAAAUUUAAGAAGUACAACACUUAUUGCCUCAUGUACAAGUAAUUAUCUGACACACCUACUAACACAUCCGUUUUGAUAAUUAAUAUGGGAAUUAAACACUAUUUCAUUUCUCUAUUUUUCCCCGACUCACAAUUAUUCACCAAAACCCUAAAUCAAUCGUCUUCGCUAAAAACAUACCAUCGUUCCAGCAACAUCUCUUAUAUCACACAACUUUCUUCAAUCUCUAGUAUCCAUCUGUUACUACCACCCUCUAGACGUCGCGGUUACCACCAUUGGGGUCCGCAACCCCCCAUGUCGUCGUGCUUCUACCUUAUGUUGAGACGAGAAACACUACCCUUAUAUUGUUGUCACCGUCAAACACCAUCACCACCAUACAUCACACACCAUAAACCAGAAAAGCCCCCAUUACGAAUUAAUUCUCACUCCCCCUUUGUCUCAUACCACUAUCACACCAGCAACGCACCGCCACCCAUUUUCCACCAUUGCACCACCAACAGUCAUUUAUCGACGUCUUUAUGCAAUAUAUGUCGUUACAUUACUUAUCCGUCGACAAACGACCACACAGACGGUCCCUUUUUUUAUUCAAAAUCUUGAAGAUCUUGGUUUGGAUUCUAAAUUGAUGAGACUUUUUUGCAGACAAAAAUGCCCCUACGAACUAUUAUGGUUAAGUACUAUUAUAAAAAUCUCGACUAGGUCCCGAUUAAUCUCCGAUUAAUCCCUAGGCGUUACUCAGUCGAUUAGAGGGCGCCUAUCGAUUAAUCACUGCAUACAUAAUGAGUGAAAACAUUAUAAAAUGAUACAAUUUUAACAUUUUGAAGAAAUUUUAUUCCAAUGGAAACUAUUUGAGGCAUGAUUAGUGUUGUAUUAAUCAUAUUAUCCUAUUUUGUUAUCAUAUUAGUGAUAUUUACAAACUUUGAUAUGAUAUUAGUCAUAUUUUUUUUCUAAAAUUCAACAAAUUAGCAAUUAAUGGUACCCGAUUAAUCUACGCCUAGCCGAUUAAUCCAUUGACCCCAGUCCACCGACUAGCUAACGUCGAACGAUUUUUACAACUUUAAUAACCAUUAACCGACUGAAAUCAUUAUCCAAAACCAAUAUCAACCGCUACCCAAUGGCUAUUGAAAUACAUUAACCAAUUGUAAUGGUUAUGGUUCGGUUUUGAACAAUAAACAAACCAACCGCCUCAUACACACCCCUAAUAAAUAAGGUAGGGUUGGAGAGAAAUAGGGAAAGAAAAUGGAUGAAAAAUGGAAAAUUGAAGUGGAUUGAAAAUGCUCUUAAGCUGUUUUCGCAUAUAAGAAGUUAUUACUUAGAGGGUGUUUGGUUUUUUUUAAACAGUUUAUUGAUUUAUUGGUUAUUUAAAAAACCAUUAAGCUUAAAAAAUUAUUGAAUAUUGCAUAAUUGCUUUUUAAACUGAAAAUGACAAUACUAUACGUAAUAAACUCUUUUUUUUCUUUAUUUCUCUUUGCAUGUUUUUUUAGUUAUUUUACAAUUAUAGAAGACUUCAUUUAUCUAUAUCCCUUUCUUGCUUAUCCCUACUAUUUAAUCAUUAUUCUAAUUAAUUAGCUUAUGAUUGCACUUAUAAUUACUAGUAUGUAAUGAUUAAUACUUUUUUAUAUUUAAUUACUAAAAUAUCUUUUAUAUUUUAAAAUUUAUACAUAAAACAUAUUUUAUAUUUUAUUUAGUUUAUUUACCAGUAAUACAUAAAUAUUAAUAAUAAUCAUGAUAUCGUAUCUAUAAAUCAUAAAUAUUAAUAGUAAUCAUCAUUUAUGUGAUUUAUUUUAUGUUGGUGUAUUAAAAAUCUUCAAAUAUCAAUGUAUAUAUGAAUUAAAAUAAAUAUAAUAUUAGAAGGUGUAAAUGUAAUAUUAUCAGUAUUGAUAGAGUGUAAUGUAAAAUAGAGGAUAUGAAAUUGGUUAUGUUAUAAACCUUAGUUGCUACUCCUUCUUUUCUCUCAUCCUCCGAUCCCUUUUUUUUCUUAUCCUCAAACUGGUGUGUGUUGCUCGCCAAUGAUGGCAGGAAAACCAGCAACAGCCGAAGUUGUUGUUGGUCGUGUGCGGCGGCGGUGAAGCCCGAUGGAUGAUUCAAAAUGGUGCACAGGCAGAUCCGACAGUGAUUCACGAUAUUCUUUCUCUUUCGCUCGAUCUGAAUGUUGGUUGGUGGUCGGGAUUCUGACGGUAGCCGUAAUUGCUCUUAUUAUGUCUAUUUUUCGAUCUUAACGGCGGUAGCGUUACCGGCGUUGGUGAGUGGCGGGUGAAUGUCGUCGGCGUUAGUUUAUUGUUUAAAAGACUAUUUUGUAUAUUGUUAACUGGUUUUUAUUUUGAUGGUUUAUGCCCGAAUUAAGUGACGCGCAUUUUUCAAUAUACAAUGUACUGGACAGAAUCUGAUGACAUGCAUGAUAUAUUUUCAAUGUCUUGGAAGUUGUAACAAUUUAUAUUUAUUGGUCGAACAUAUUAAAAAACACAGUUAAUGAAGAAUUUGAAAUCUUUUCAUCAGAAAAGUAAUAACGAAAAGGAUAGGUUUAAAAUUUCAAGGGUAGGGAUAACUUACCCUUAUAAAAAAUUUUCUUCCAUCCUCUCUUUCCAUGUAUUUUUUUAGUUAUUUUACAAUUAUAAAAAGUUGUCACCAUAAAAGUUGAUCUUAACAUUUUUUUAAAAACACAUUUUAUCAUCACCAUAAAUCAAUAAUCAGUUUUGUUCAAAAACACUGAAGUUUAAAAAACAAUCCCAAACAGCUAUUUAGCUUUUAACAAUAACAUGUCUUUUUUUUACAAGGAUUAACAGAGUCAUUAUUGCAUCCCGUGUUCAAUUAUUGAUUUGAUCCUUCCUUUUAAGACAAAAUAUACAAUCUUGUGGUAUUUAACUCGAUUGCAAAAAAUAACAUAUCAAAAACACAUCAACGAAUUCGAGAACGAUUACACAAACUGCAACACAGAGUUUCAUUGAUCAGGUUACAGAUCCAGAAAAGUCAAACAUACAAAUUACUAAAUUCUAAGUCCAGAUUUGUUUUUAAAAAAAUGAGUGAUACGUUAUUUGCAAUGACUACAUCAAAGGGAAAAUACAUGAUCAGUGAAAGCUAUGUAGACCUCUCAACAAUUCAAUAUCUAAAUCAAUUGACCAAGUAUCAUCCUACUGCUUUUAGAACCCUAGAAAUGAUAAUACGUUGCUUGAUCUGCAAGCAAUAUUGCAUACUCUGAUAGAAUAAUUACACUAUUUUCCAGAUGCAAAUGCCCUAAAAAGCAUUCAAAUUCAAGGACAAAACUAAAUUCCAUGUGCUAGAUAUAGAUAAAUCAUUCGAGAAAGAAGAAAUUUAAACCAUAAAUUGACUUGCUAUCUGAUAUUAUAUUAAGAACUUCAAUUACAAGUAAUAUCACUUCGAAUUAAACUCUGGUGUCAAACAAGAACCCUAGAAACCCUAAACUUCUAUUAACCACCAAAUCCGUAGAGAGUACGGCCUUGGCGCUUCAAAGCAUAUACGACAUCCAUGGCGGUGACAGUUUUCCGGCGAGCAUGUUCGGUGUAUGUGACGGCGUCACGGAUGACGUUCUCAAGAAAGAUCUUCAAAACUCCACGGGUCUCCUCGUAGAUUAAGCCACUGAUACGCUUGACACCUCCUCGUCUGGCCAGACGGCGGAUCGCCGGCUUGGUGAUACCUUGGAUGUUGUCCCGGAGAACCUUACGAUGUCGUUUAGCUCCUCCCUUUCCCAAUCCCUUGCCUCCCUUUCCUCUUCCUGACAUUUUUUUAUUUUUUUUUUCUCUAAAAAUGAAAUUGAAUUCCGAUUGUGAUUGUGAUUGAAAUGUCGUAGAUUUGGUAGGGCUUUUGUAAGUAAAGGUGGGAAGGGUAUAUGUUUUUGUGGCCGUUGGAUCCAAUAAUAUACAAGGGAUUGUUGGCCGUACGAUUGUAAUCCGUGUGAUCAGCAACAAAACGUUUUGGUUGGUUCGUUUUACUAUUGCUUGAUCUAGGUAAAGAUUAUGUCCCGGAUAAAUUGAAGAGAUUUUUUUCACCAAUUAACUUCAUAAAAGGAUAAUUGACACAAAAAACAUUUUUUUUACAUAAAAAUUUGAUUUUGAUAUUAUGUUUUUUUUUGUGUCAAAUUUGACACCGUGUUUUCUAAUUUGUUACAAUUCUGACCACUUGACCGGUUAACUAGGUUACAUGCAGACGUGACAUGAUAACGUGUAAGUUUGAUGACGUGGCAUGUUGACAUGAUAUGCUGACAUGUCAAAAUUAAUUUUUUUUCUCACAAAAAACACUAAGUUUUUAUUUUUUUCGAUUUUGACACUAAGUUUAAUUUUUUAUUUCAACUUUGACACUAUGUUUUUUGUUCCAAAAUGAACAUUUUUUUUCCAAUUUUGUUCAGUGUUGACAAUUUUCUAUUUGAAAUCGUAUAAAUAUUUUUUAAUAAUUUAAACCGUAUAAAUAUGUUUUUUUUAUUUAAAAACCAUAGUUUUGUAUAAAUACAUUUUUUUUUUACAUUCAAACUAUAUUUUUAUGUAUAAAUAUGUAUUAGUUAUAUAAAAAUUAUAUUUUAUAUUAAAUAUGCAACUUUAAAAUGUGUUUGGAGGUUUGGAGACAUGUAGUCGAUCAAAACUCGGAUAUCAAGUUUGCAACCCAUCAAAUUUUUACAUCUUAUUAAAAGUUUAUGGUUAGUUUGAUUCUCAUGAUAUAACUUUUUUUGAAUGUAAGAAAAAAACACAUUGUAUUUAAAUAAAAACGUGGUUUUUAAACGAAAAAAAAUAUGUUUAUACGGUUUAAAAUGUAAUAAAAAAAUAUAUUUACACGGUUUCAAAUGGAAAAUAAACAAAAUUGAACAAAAAUUAAUAAGUGAUGUUCGAUUGGAACAAAAAAAACAUAGUGUCAAAAUUGAAAUAAAAAAUUAAACUUAGUGUCAAAAUCGAAAAAAAUUGAAAACUUAGUGUUUUUUGUGGGAAAAAAAUCAAUUUUGACACGUCAGCAUAUCAUGUCAACAUGCCACAUCAUCAAAACUGACACAUCAUCAUGCCACGUCAGCAUGUAACCUGGUUAACCGGUCAAAUGGUCAGAAUUGUAACAAAUUAGAAAACACAGUGUCAAAAUUGACACAAAAAAAACACGGUGUCAAAAUCGAAUUUCUAUGUAAAAAAAAUGUUUUUUGUGCCAUUUACCCUUCAUAAAAUCAUAGCUUUACUUUUUUAAUAAAAAUUGAUAAAAGAAACAUGAUAAUUGUUUAUAUAAAAAUAUAAUAAACCUGAAAUCCUUAGAUUUUAGUACUUUUGGUUUUUAACCGGUCCUAAUAAAAAAAUGUAUAUCUAUUGGAUUUUAUUUUUGAUGUAUUAACGAUAAAUGUAUAAUGUUUUAUCGUAUAAUUUUAUUGUAUUUUCCUUGUUUGACGGAUAAAAUGUAUGAGGCAGUUUGGUUCGGUUAUUGGUUAAAACUGAAACAUAACCAUUACAAUUGGUUAUUGUAUUUCGAUAACCAUUGGCAGUGGUUAAUAUUGGUUUUGGUUAGGGUUUUAGCCGGUUCGGUUUAUGAGGUUCAAUUUUAGAUGAAAACCAUAAUUGAACCAUAUGUAUUCGGUUAAUUAAAAUUAAAAACCGCACCAUAUCUUUUACUAAUGGUUUUGUUAAAAUGAUUUGGUUAUAUCGGUUAAUUUUGUUAUGGUUCUGUUUUUUGGUUAACGUGUUCACCCCUAGAUUUUAUGACAGAUAGUGUAAUUUUAUUGUUAUGUUAGUGUAAUUAAAAUUUUGAUCAUAAAAUAACAAUUUACAUAUUCGGAUUGAGGAUGUCAUUUGAGUCACAUACAUAAAGGUGUCAGUUCUGUGAAAAAUAUGAUUGGGCAUUGGCUUUUUUUUAAGAAAGCUAUAUCAAACUAUGGGUAAGCAUAGGCGGGUACCUGACUAAAUUUAGUGGAACCAGAACCGCCGGUUCAUAAAAUGUUAGAACUAAAACCAGAAUCGGUUACAUCAGUUCCUACAAUUUUAGAACCGCUCCCAUAACCACCGGAACCGGUUCCGAUUCCGGGUACCCGCUUGCUAAAAACUUUUAAACUGUUUUAAGCCAAAGGUAAUGGGAUUCUUAACAUAUGCCCAUAUUUUGAGACCUCACACUCAUUGUUUUGAAAUUUUUAAAACUUUUUAUGUUCACAGCAAGCUCAAAUACUCCAACCCGUUUAAAGUUUGCAAUUCAAGCCUUAUUGUUGUAGUGGGAAAUCAAUAGGGCGCCUUUUCCUUUAUAAGUUAAACAACAUUCAAGCAUUGUUGCAUCAAGCGAUAUGGGAUAUUAUAUCCUACACUUUCAGUUCUCGACUACUCCCUUUACUUUCCUAUAUUUAUGUUAUCUAAUAUUCACAAUUUCUGUUGCAUUGUUCCAUUGCUACUUUAAAGAAUUAAAACCAAGACAACUUCAUAUCUAAGUUUAAAAAAAAUGUGAGCGUCAUUAUCAUUCAAAUCGGGUAUCACAAAAAUGUAAUGCAAUAUUACGAUAAAGGCCAGUGUAGCUGAACAACUUUGGUGUUGGUUGGGACUGAACUGAAGCCUGAACCAGCUCCCUCGUCUAGGUAUCUAUCUCAAUCUCUCGCCUCCUCGCAGCAUCUUGAAGCUCAGCGAGGGUACUACAUCGAUGGGUAGACAUAAACUGACAAAUAUUCGUCUUGAGCAUGCUUAAGUACUGAGUCAUCUAAACAUGCUCUGAAACAACAAACUCAGGACAUAAAAAAGCCCUCUCAGUGAAUAUCUUGGUGAUCUUUGUCACUAACUCGGUCUUCUAUCUUGGUAUAGCGCCGGUCAAACUCCUCACUCAAUGUGAUCUUGACCAACCCAAAUAGCUAUGGAAUCACCUCCCUGAUCGCCUCUACCAACUCGGCAACAAUGAUCAUGCGGAUCUCCUCCUCAUGCAUACCUGCUCUCCUAGUGCCACCAACACCUGAUCCUAAACCUCCAAAAGCCUCCAUACUAAGAAUAUACCAAGGAAAUAUCAGACAUCAAAACAUGGUGAUCAACACACCAGGCCACACUCCUAUUAGUUCCUUAGUAAUCUCGAUGUUCCUCCUGAAUCUCAUACGGGUCAUGUGCUUUUAGUAGUAUGAGCCCAUACUACCUUCCACACCUUUCCGUAGUCGAUUCAUAAUUCAUCUCAAGGUCAUAAGUUAGUGCACUAGACCACUCCUAGGUGUGUUAACACACGCUUCUCCUAAAAUUUAUAAAUAACUUCCUAGGCACUCUUCCUAGUAUUAUCCUUGCUCUAGCACCACCGGUUACUUUUGUGCAUUAUUGUUGAACAUAAUACGAGAUCAAACAGACUGUUGAAUAAUCGACUCAACUCUAAGUCCACAACCAAACAACGAACAUGAAGUAAGGCUAAGUCGAUCAUUCUAAGGCUGUUCAAUCCCAACCAUAUACAACUAAUCAACAUACACGCAACAAUCACAAAUCAAGUAAUAUAUAUCUGGCAACCAACUCCCUAUAUCGUAAGGCAUCACAGAAAUCAGACAAUUCUAUGCAACAGUUCCCAAAAGAACCUUAGCUUAUCCACUAGCAUGCUUUCCUAACNAAACUCCCUAUAUCAUAAAGCAUCACAUAAAUCAGGCAUUUCUAUCCAACAAUUAUUAAAUAAACCUUACCUUAUCCAGUAACAUGCUUUCCUAAUAGUUCACAUAUCAAAAACAUAAAAACUCAGUACAUAUAACAAGUAUGGGUAUUUUGGUAACCGCUCUCUUGUUCGUGCUCUAGUUGACUGUAUACACCACAUCUUCCUAUAAAACCAAAGUUAAGUCAAUGUCCAUGUUCCUGAUCCCAAACCAACAAUCAAAAAAUAACAUGACAAGAGGCCAAGUCCAUGUCGCUAACCCAACACUUUUAUUAUAAAUUUGUUUUCAAAGCAUUUUAUGAAAAAUCUCGUAUCCUAGUUUGAGAUUGGAUUCACACAAGUGUUCCUCCAAUUCGCUCAAACCAGGGCUCUGAUACCAACUUGUAACGUCCCAUUUUCUAUACCAUUUUUUCAUUCUAUUUAAAGUAAAAUUCCCAAUUAUAAAACCAUUUUAAGAAAACCAUCUGUUCCCAAUUAUAAUUAUUAAAAAUCAGAGUAUUAUAAUGAAUGCAAAAUCCUCAACGUUGCCGAUGAGUGUGUACAAUAUCACCUUCGCCUUCUCAUAGCCACCGAUGAUACAUGAAACAAUAAACAACUAGUUAAGCAUAAAGCUUAGUGAUUUUCCCACAAAAUACCACAUACGAUUAACAUAAAAGCAUGCAUAACGGCCCAUAACCCCCGGUUUGAAUGCCCAAUCCCAAUCAGUCCUUAGAGUGGAAUGCCAACAUGCAACGAGUCCAAUCAGCUAUCGGGCAGGAAUACCCAGGUUUUGUUGGCCUACAGCCUCAACGCAACCGUUCUUCCCGAUCCCCAGUGCCUACGACUUACAGUUGGCCCACAACGGGUAUAUUAGCCUACAACACAAAGCAGGACCGCCUCAACGCACUACUACCGUAUGUCGACAAAUAAAUAAUUAGGAUCAAGUAGGCACAUAAUAUAGGCAAACAAAAUGUCACACCCCCAAACCGGAACGGUGGAAACGUUUGGGGGUUGUUAACGUCAUGCGUGGUAUCAUAACAGUUGUAUCACAGCAAGCACAGUAAACACAACCAAACAUUGAAUACAUAUAUGAAAAGGGUUUACACUGUCUUCAUACAAAGAUUUGUUCUUAUCGAAAGUAAAAUAGAAAGACGUGACACUAACGCGCCGACUUCUCCAAAACUUCUGGAAGUACCUGUCUACUAAUUCUAUGAGAAUACAAGCAAUUUUGAAAGAAUAUCAGCAUAAAGCUGAUGAGUUCAUAAGCAUUUAGUUUUGGUGGGAAAAUGUUUCUUUGAUCUUUUUGAAAAGUGUUACUCAAGAAAAUCCUAUAUUUUCUUAUGAAAAACGUGUUUGAAAGCCCAUUCCUUCCAUGACUUCCAGAUUCAUACAAGGUAUGUACAAUCCAAGGGUCGUGGAAUGAAUAUGAAUAUUCGUUAGUUGCAUGUUAAACAAUUUGUUUAUGGAAAGCCGAGUUAUCCCGAGAAAAUCCUAUAUUUUCCCUAAAAGUUGAUGGUUGGUUAUCCGUUCUAAACUGAGGUGUACAAGUAUCUACCAUACUUAUAUCGAUAAACGUAGUUUUCAUUUAAAACCCCUGGUUACUCCCAGUGAGGUAUAUUAGCCCUAUUACGUAAAUAAAACUAAUAAAAGAGAACGUGAUGAACUAAAUCCUGAAGGUACUAUUAAUACCCACCAGUAAUCAAAUCGAUUAUAACUAUGAGGUUAGUUCACUUGAUUCAUUAUUACAAAAGUAAAUCUCUGCUAUCUAGGUUGUGAGUUUUAUAACCAUAACUGACUGGAUAUGGCCCGCAACGGACGGUAUCCUUUAUGACUUUGUCACCCGUAGACCUGUCAGUCCGACUGUAGCUAGCAGCCAGGUGCGGGGUUGUCAUUCCCGUAUAGAUCUAUACAUAACUCUCACGCUCUCCUUACAAGAGAUUAUGGUCACAAGUGCUAGUCCUACACUUUGAUUCUUGUGGUGAGUGUUACUAAGGACGUGUCUCCAACUUAGACUAAAAAAUUUACAAGUAAUAACAUAGAAAAUCCUUUUGUGAUUAACGUGAAUCAUUUAUAAAAUGAUACAUUUUGCUACAUGAUUCAUAAGUUCAUUGCUCUAGUUUUGAAAACUAUUUCUACGAGUUAAUUUGUUAAUCAUUUGGUAAAUUGUUUUCCGUGUUAAAAGCAUUCUGAAAAUAUAAUUAUCUUAAACAAAAUAAUAUACUUUGAGCACAAGUUUCCUUGUACUUUUGCUUAUACCCCCCAUGAAAACAUGAAAAACUCGGAAAAGCGUAGGGGUAUGAACUUACAUCGGGCGAUUUGAAUGAAAGAUCGAUACGGAAUGUCGGAUGUUCAAGUGAAUCCUUGAACGCGAUUUGAUCCUAAUUAACAUGUAAUGACACAUAAAGGAGUCAAAUGAAGAUAUUUCUCUACUAAAUGUGAUGGAGAACCACUCUAAGAACUUGGGACUACCUACACUAAGUGCUAGAACCUUAAAGGAUUGCAUAAGGGAGGUGUAUGGCCACCUUAAAGGUGUGUACGACCAUAAGUGUGCGGCCCAAUGGGUGUGCGGUCGUACACUUCUGAUGGAAGGUGCUUUUGAGGUGUUUUCAAGGUCCAUACUUCCAUCCAUGAAGUGUUAUAGGUCCAUACUAAGUUGUAGUACAAGUUUAGGGUCUUAGAAAUGAGUUUGUGGUCCUAGGGUGUGUGUGUUGUCGUACACGGGAGUGUGCUGCCGCACACAAGGAGUGUGAUACCGCACAAGGGUGUGUGUGAUCGUACACAGGUGUGUGUGGUCGUACACCCUACAUGAUGAUGUCCAAUAAUGCUAAUUCUAAGGUGUAGCAAAGCUAGGUUCAUGUCCAACUCGAAUAUAGAAGUCUAACUCUCACUUUGGAGGGUCUUUUAGGUGUGUGAGGCCACCUUAUGUGGGUGUGAGGCUACACUCCUUCAAAUAGAUGAUGAACAUGACGGGUCUCAAUGUUUCAAGGCUUAGAUUAAGUGGUUCUUCAAGCACAACAAGCUAAGGGAUGGAUUACUCGUGUUUUUGAAGCCUUGGGAGGGUUUGUGGUUGAAGAAGCUUGAGAGAAAUGGUGUUGUGUGCUACCAAGGUUUUAAAUGAAUGAAAGGAAAGGGUUCUACCCUUUAUAUAGGGUGGGUGUGUGGCCAUGAGGGGUGUGUACGGCCGUACACCCAUGUGUGCGGCCGUACACUCCUCCAAAAGGGGUGUAUGGCCCGAUUUCGUCACUAUAUGACUUGCUGAUUCGUUCCUAAUCUCGACAUUGGUUGUACUAAGGUUUAGAAAGCUUAAAUGAACUCUUAAUCAGUGUUAGGUGUUAAAAGAAACGAGUUUAACUUAUAUUAACCGACUAGAUGUACCAGGUAGAAGUUUCGGGUUGUCACAUCAUCCCCCCGUUAGAGAGAAUUUCAUCCCGAAAUUCAAGAAUAAAGAUGUCACUCCUGGACUUGGAAAUGUUAGGGGUACUUCUGUUUCCUUGGAUUCUCGUCCUCCCAAGUGAAAUCAGGUUCCCGCUUGGCAUUCCAGCGGACCUUCACUAUCAGGACGUGACGUUAUUUCACUCGCUUGACUUCUCAAUUCGUGUGUCCAAUGAAACGUAGACUCUUGUCUAGCUCGAUACCGUCAAGUGAAAAUCGCAAGUGUUUCAUCGGACAGACACUUCUUUGGUCCGACAUGAGGAAGACGGGAUGAACACUGCUAAGCGCUCGAGGUAACUGGAGUUUGUAUACUACGGGACCGAUCCUAGAAAGCAUCUCAGACGGUCCAACGUACUCUUGGAUUUAGCUUGCUACGAUUUUCGGAGUGUAUCAGGCUUUUCUAGGGUGAGACUUUUAAAUGGACAGGGUCACCAACUUGGAAUUCCAAGGGUUUUUGUCUCUUAUCGGCGUAGCCCUUUCGUACGACCCCUUUUCAGUCGCCUUCGUAUGAUUUCAGAACUCGUGAGGGUACUGUCGUGGACUUGAGUCUUGACUAGUUGCGUGUCGCCCACCUCAACCCAGCACAUAGGGGAUCUAUACUUACGACCAUAGAGGGCUUCGAACGACGCAACCAUGAUGUUGGAAAGGUCGUCAUUGUUGCAAGAAAGUUCCAUUAAGGGUAGAUGAUUGUCCCACGACGUAUCUACAAUCAGGACCUCACCAUAGGACAAUAUCUUAAACCCUAAGUCCAUUAAGUCCUAAAUGUGACCAAAACUCAAACAUGAGGCUAAGAACACUCAAGCUAAGACCUUUUUCUCACUAGCUCAUAAAUUCAUGACCAAAUGGGAACCAUAUCAAACUCUGGAGUUCCUCAUACUUCAAGAGCACUCAAGAAUGGGACGAAAUCAUCAAAAAAUGGGCUUAAACAUCAAACAAGAAACACAAAGGUCAAGAUAUGAACUUUAUACAUCCAAUAACUCAUAAAUGUGAAGAAGAUCUUGGAUCCAAGCUUGAUCCUUGCUUCCUUGCACCAAAAUGAACCACCUUCUUCUUCAAGUUUUACCAAAUGAUGGAAAAAACCUCAAGAUGUAGCCACCAAGCUCAUUUCCAUGGAAGAGAGGCUAGGGUUUCGAGAUGAAGGAAUGGAGGCUGAAGAAGAUGACCUAAAAUGGGGGUUAAGAUGCUUAAAGAUGGAUGAAACCCUAAUAUACUUGGGCUUGGGCCUGAACAGGCGACACACCAUGGCCAUCCAUUGCCACGCCGCGGUGACCCUCAAAAAACGCGUUCAAUAAUAUCACAUGUCGUGGGCAUCCAAGCCCCACAUCGUGGCUGAGGGUCUACUCCAAAAAUCCUAAUUUGAUUCCUCAAGUCUUGCCACACAUUCUUUGGAAAACGGGAUGUUACAUGCGAUAUAAGCUAAAUAGAGAUUAUGAACACGGUGUAGGUAUUCAGGGAGCUGGACAACCAUUCGACAACUUUAGUGGAUUUAUUUUGUUCCAUGCUAUUUCAGGUGAGUUCUUAUGAACUUACUUAUCAUUCGGACUAUGUGAUAUUGUAUGUGAGUUCUCAUGAACGUACUUAUUAUAUGGACUAUGUGAUGUUAUAUGUAACAUCUCAAAAAUCAUAAAAAAAAAAUUAAAAAACAACCCAUUUCAACCAUAAAGUGUUUACAAAACCAUUGUUUUAAAAGUAUAAACAUCAUCAGAGUUUUUCCCAAGACCCAAUAUCAUAAAAAUAGGAAGAUGUGAAUGAUCAUGCCUUUGCUUUCCCGCGAUCAUCAGAAGUACCUGAAACAAUGAACUAAAACUAUAAGCCAUAGCUUAGCGAGUUCCCCCAAAGUACCAUCACGCAACACAUAACAAAUACAUAUCAACAUGCUGGGUCUACAGCCUCCUGGUCGGAUUACCCCGACCCAUAACCUCCUGGUUGGAUUACCCUACAUAUCACGUACUGGGUCCACAACCUUGAGGUUGGAUUACACUAGCCGACAACCUCCCGGUUGGAAUAGCCUGGCCCAUAACCUCCUGGUUGGAUUGCCCCGGUCUGUUAAUUGACAACACAAAACAGUAGUUUCAACCACAACAUAACAUGUCGACAUAUAACAAAUAACAAACAUAUUGAGCAGGCAAAUAACCAUACAACCAGUGUUCAUAACAGUCCUACAAAUCUACCAAUAAAAUGCCUAUCAGCAGCUAUCACAUAAUCAUAUAGGUUUAUCGCAUACUCCACAUAUAAUCAAUCAAUAUAUAACAGGAUAUCAAUAAAAUGGGUCAGCCUUGAUCCCUUCAACCCGCAAGUACAGUGAGGAAAACUUAUCUCACAGUCUGAAAAAGAUCAUUGAACAGGACACAACUCUGAAUAUCAGCUCAAACAGUAACAUAUUCAUCAGAUAAUGACCAUUGUCAAUAACCACUCAAAAUACCCCAAAAUACCCUUUGGUCAACUUGGUCAACAUUGGUCAAAGUCAAAAAGUUAAAUUAGGUUAAUACAACUUGAAACACUCUAAAUUUUCAGAGCAAAUUUUCAUUUAAAAAAUUUCACACAAAACAUAGUUUAACAUUUCUCAUGCCAAAUUUGAAAUUUUCCCAAACACAAAACAUCAUAAAUUGUUUGUCAAAUAUCCCAGAAUCCACAUAAACACAAAUCAUCAAGCUGGUGUGUACAAUCAUGUCGGCGCCUUCCCGCUAUCCUCAGAUGUACCUGAAACACAUUUUACACAAACACGGUAAGCACUAAGCUUAGUGGGUUCCCCAAAAUACCACAUACACAAAUAAUUAACUUCUUAGGGCUAUGUCUCGAUAAGGACCCUCCGGUUAUAAGUCUCGGUGAGGACCCUUUGGUCUCACGUCUUGGUAUGGACCCUCCGAUCAUAUGUCUCAAUGAAGACCCUCCAGUCUCACGACUCGGUAUGGACCCUCCGGUCAUAACUCAAAAUAUGCACAUGAUAAUGUAACAACACAAAUCACAAAGACAUAAUUCACAAUAACACAUAUCUCAGUAUAAGCAAAUAGGACCCUUUGGUUAAUAACACGAAUAAGACCCUUCGGUUACACAUAGAUUACCACACAGGUAAGUAUAGUGAGAAGACUUGCUUCGCAAGUAAAGCAAGUAAAUCCUUCACCCAAACUGUUGGUCUAGUCUCUGCCUAACAUAUGUCACAUAUACCUCUAAUUAAUAAUUGACAUGAACAACCCUUAAAAUGUUAGACCAAGUUCCUCUACUAAACCUCGGGAAGGUAAAAGACCAUUUUGCCCCUCAAAAGUCCACAUCUUGACCAAAACCCCAAAAGUAAAAGAAAGUCAACGCUCAGCGCGUACACUUGGCGUACAUCCGUCUAAGUUGGGCGUACAACUAUUUUGGAUAUUCAGAUUUUUGGAUUGAUUUUAAGUUAAACCGAAUUAUUUUUAGAUUUCGGAUUGGUUUUGGUUUAUAAAAUAAUAACCGAAUAGUCCAUAAAAACUGAAUAACAACUUAUUAUUUAUUUUUAAUAUCUAUAUUUAAUCAUUUAAAAAUUUAUAAAAUUAUACUUUUAAUUAUUAUAAAUUUUCAACCAGUAUAGUACCUUACUAUGUCAUUCUUAUCAAAAGUUUUUUAUCAACGAAAUGUCUUAAUAGUUGUUUAUAAAUUAUAUUUCAUAACUAAAAAGUUUUAUUUAGUUACUUUUAAAGAGUUGACUAAUACUUAAUUUAUUCAUUAUUAAAAUGUAUUGCCUUUUAAAAACCGCAUUGUAAAAACCGAUCUAACCGAACUAUUAUUUGGUUGGAUCGGAUGAGAUUUGAAUUUAGUUUGAACUAUUCGGAUCCGUGUUUUCAAAACUGAAAUCCAUUUAGAUUUAGGGGAUGUUUGGAUAGGGAAAAAAUAGGCCGUUUAUUAGUUAUUGCUUAAUCCCACCGCAAUAAGCAAAUUUAAUUGUUUGGAUAGGAGUCUAUAAAAAUCAGCUUAUUGCGGUAGGAAUAAGCAAACUAAGCUGAUUUUAAUAAGCAAGAAGGUGAAUGCUUAUUGCUUAUUGCUUGUUUUACUCAAAGCUGUUUUGUUUGCCAAACACUUAAAAUGUUUAUUGCUUAUUGCUUAUUCCCACCGCAAUAAGUAAAUAAACAAUAAGCUAAUAACUAAUUAUCCUAGCACCCCCUUACUUGAUCGUAUCGGAUCAAACCGAUCCAUCCAAACGAACACUCCUAGAUAUAAUAAUUUUCUCCAUAAAACUAUAUAUAUAUAUANNNNNNNNNNNNNNNAUAUUAUGGAGGGAAAAUGACUUCUAAGGGUAACGAAGUAUUAGACUUGUACAAAAAAUACCAUUGAACUUUUUCUCUGUACACAUAUCACCAAUCAACUAUAGCUUCUGUACACAUAUGACUAUUAAACUUCACAUUUGUUCAAAAAAUACCAUUAUGUUACCGGUAAUAGUAGGUUACCAGCCAUGUAACAUGCCGUGUGGCUGCUGACGUAGGUUUUAUUAUAUAUUAUGUACACAUUAUACCAUUAAACUAUUUUUUGUACACAUUAUACCAUUAAACUUUUUUUUGUGUACAUUUUACCGUUAAACUUUUUGUACACAUUUUACCAUUAAUCUUAUAUAAUUUAUUCAAAAAAUAUCAAUUCAAAAAAUACAUAUUUUUACAUAAAAUGGGUUUUCCAUCACCUAUUGUGACUCCCUGAUUUUGUAAGGUUCGGGGGAAACCGUUUGUUUUUUACAAUGAUACUAAGGACUUUUUUUUACAAUUACAUUGUAAUUUAUGUUGGUCAUACAUCAAUUGAAACCCACAAGGUUUGAACUUGUGACUUUUAUCUGGAGCGGCAAAGAAAUACUCAAUUGUUCAUUAUUUUAGCUAAUGUCUAAUAAACAUAUUCUUAUAAGUCAUUUUCUUAGGAAACUACGUUUGAGGCAUACUUAUAAACUCAUGAAACAUUUUGUACAUGUUCCCUUACUAUAAUCUCCCAUCUUCUUGAUUAAGGUUGAUGAUUAAAAAAGUGCAUUAAAAUUAUGUGGUUGUUUACCGAUAGGAAAAUGACUUAUAAUGAUAAGUUACUAAAAUUUAGAAAAUCAGUAAAAUCCACAUCAGGUGAUGGGAAACCUACUUUUAUGUAAUAAUAUGUAUUUUUUGAAAUGAUAUUUUUUUCAAUAAAUUAUAUAACAUUAAUGGUAAAAUGUGUACAAAAAAAAGUUUAAUGGUAUAAUGUGUACAAAAAAAAGUUUAAUGGUAUAAUGUGUACAUAAUAAACAGUAAAAUCCACGUCAGCAGCCACAUGACAUGCCACGUAGCAUGCUACGUGGCUAAUGACCUAUUAUUACCUGUAAUAUAAUGGUAUUUUUUGAACAAAUGUGAAGUUUAAUGGUCAUAUAUGUACAAAAGUUAUAGUUGAUUGGUGAUCUGUGUACCAAAAAAAAUUCAAUGGUAUUUUUUGUAUAAAUCUCAUACUUUGUUAACCUUACAAGUCAUACAUUUUUCCCAUAUUAUGGAUGGUGUGCAGUGAGGCCACCACAGCAUGACCACCGAGAGCCUUGGGUGUUUGUUCAAAACAAAUUUCAUUUUGCUUUCUGCUAAAUUGAGGAAGGAGCUAGUUUUUUUGUUUCAUUUUGAUCCAUUAUUUUUCUUCGGUUUCUAGUACACUUAGAAAAAGGUAAACAAUAUUGGUUACUUUGGUUUCAAAAAAAGGGCUUUGAUGUGUUUAUCACUUUAUUUGAUAAUUUCUAGCAUCUUUUCGAAUAUAAUUUUCAUGUACUCAAAACCAAAAUUAAUGGCUAACGCUUCCGGAAAUCACAAGAAGUUAAUUUUCCACAGCAAUCUUGCAAACCUUGAAAACGAAUUACCAUAUCGAAUUUGUGCACAGAUGAGCAAAUCACUCAGUAAGUUCACAACAUUGUCUGAGUUUUCAAAUAAAAGCUAUAACCUGGAUUACAACUUCAAUGCAACUACAUGAAUUACAACACUCUUGUCAAAUAGUUCAACAGUUUUACCGAUGCACGUGUAAAAGCUCUGCUAAAUCGAAAUGUAAACAAACUGAAGAUUAAUUGUGGCUUAGCCCUAAAUCAAAUACAGAUUCCAGUCACUGAAUUAGAGGUAUCAAAGACAAAUGUCAUGUAUUGCAUAAGCAUAUAAUCAUACAGAAAAAAUGAAUUGGAAUAUUGGAUAAGUGAUAUUGUAUUAAUAGCUUCAAUUACAAGUAAUACCACUUCGGAUUACAGAUAAGCCAACAAAGCAACAAGAACCCUAGAAAGUAGAAACCGUAAAAUUCUCUUAACCACCAAAUCCGUAGAGAGUACGGCCUUGGCGCUUCAAAGCGUAAACAACAUCCAUGGCGGUGACAGUUUUCCGGCGAGCGUGUUCGGUGUAUGUGACGGCGUCACGGAUGACGUUCUCAAGAAAGAUCUUCAAAACACCACGGGUCUCCUCGUAUAUUAACCCACUGAUACGCUUGACACCUCCUCGUCUGGCUAGACGGCGGAUCGCCGGCUUGGUGAUACCUUGGAUGUUGUCCCGGAGAACCUUACGAUGACGUUUGGCUCCACCCUUUCCCAAUCCCUUGCCUCCUUUUCCUCUUCCUGACAUGUUUUCUCUCUACUUUUCUCUCGUUAGAAAUGAAUUUGAUUUUUGUUUGUGUUUGCGCUUAAAAUGGAUUUGAGGAUUUAUAGAAUAUUGGGGUUUGAGUUUGAAAGGAAGUAUGUAUUCGUCCGUUGGAUUAGAUUAAAUAGGAAGCAUAGAUAGCCGCAGGAUUAUAAUCUGUGUGAUGAUAAAUAAGACGCUUUGAUUGGUUAGCUUUAACAGUGUUGGAUCCAGGUUAGGGUAGUCCAGGUCAUAUGUGGAAUAGUAAAUUAAUUUAUAUGUUUAAUUUACAAAGAACAAUGAAUCAAUAUAUAGUCAUUUUUUUAAUUAUAUUUUUUAAAUAGUUAAAGAAUUUAAAAUUUUGUGUGUAUAUAUAUAUAUAUAUAUAUANNNNNNNNNNNNNNNNNNNNNNNNNNNNNNNNNNNNNNNNNNNNNNNNNNNNNNNNNNNNNNNNNNNNNNNNNNNNNNNNNNNNNNNNNNNNNNNNNNNNNNNNNNNNNNNNNNNNNNNNNNNNNNNNNNNNNNNNNNNNNNNNNNNNNNNNNNNNNNNNNNNNNNNNNNNNNNNNNNNNNNNNNNNNNNNNNNNNNNNNNNNNNNNNNNNNNNNNNNNNNNNNNNNNNNNNNNNNNNNNNNNNNNNNNNNNNNNNNNNNNNNNNNNNNNNNNNNNNNNNNNNNNNNNNNNNNNNNNNNNNNNNNNNNNNNNNNNNNNNNNNNNNNNNNNNNNNNNNNNNNNNNNNNNNNNNNNNNNNNNNNNNNNNNNNNNNNNNNNNNNNNNNNNNNNNNNNNNNNNNNNNNNNNNNNNNNNNNNNNNNNNNNNNNNNNNNNNNNNNNNNNNNNNNNNNNNNNNNNNNNNNNNNNNNNNNNNNNNNNNNNNNNNNNNNNNNNNNNNNNNNNNNNNNNNNNNNNNNNNNNNNNNNNNNNNNNNNNNNNNNNNNNNNNNNNNNNNNNNNNNNNNNNNNNNNNNNNNNNNNNNNNNNNNNNNNNNNNNNNNNNNNNNNNNNNNNNNNNNNNNNNNNNNNNNNNNNNNNNNNNNNNNNNNNNNNNNNNNNNNNNNNNNNNNNNNNNNNNNNNNNNNNNNNNNNNNNNNNNNNNNNNNNNNNNNNNNNNNNNNNNNNNNNNNNNNNNNNNNNNNNNNNNNNNNNNNNNNNNNNNNNNNNNNNNNNNNNNNNNNNNNNNUAUAUAUAUAUAUAUAUAAUUAACAUUAAAAAAAUGCAAAUACAAUAUUUAAUUAAAUUUUUUUCGUUUAUAAAUAUGAUUUUUCUGCUUGAAUACGUAUAAUAUGAAAAAAAAAUGGGGUAAAAGUGUUAAAAAAACUAUAAACUUAAGGGUAAAAACGUAUAAAAAAUUGUAAACUUAAGGGUUUUUUUUUGCAAAGUUAAUAUAAUGGUAACCUGUUAUCACCGGUAAAAAGGUAAAACCGUACAUUUUUUGGAAAAUGUUAUGGUAAAAACGGACAUAAAAUUUAACUUUGGGCAAAACCAAAAAAACCCUGAAAACUUGAGGGUUUUUAUGACAUUAACCCAAAAAACAUAAAUAAAUAUUGUAUUUUAAACAAGUUUCACGGUAAAAUCAAAGUUUAUUUUACAACAACAUAUGAGUCCUAAGUCAAAGUUCAUUUCAUGAAGGUUCACAAUAAAUUAAGAUAUUUCACAAUGGAUUUUACGAUAUGUCAUAUAGUUUAGGAUGGGGGAGUCGUGGUGCACUUCUUGAGAUCUAGUUCCAUUUGUCAUUGUUUUUUGUGUAAGGGCAUUAGGGCGCAGAGAUGGAGAGAGUGACAUUUUAGGAGGAGAGAUAGAGUAGAGAGACUGGGUAACGGGGUGCAAAACUUAUUUGAUAUUUUGUCAUGCCACACACACGGAGCAAUAUUUGUCAAGAUCCACUCCCAACCUUGUAGUAAAAUACAUAAAUUGUCCGUGUGAUUUGGUUUAAACAUAUUGGUUUUGUCCUUAUAAAUAAAUUUUCAUUCGGACGAUCCGUGUGGUUUGGUUUUGUUUCAAUUUUGAUCCAUAAAACAUGAAAUUACUAAGUUUCCUUUUAUUGAUUCCUUUGAAAUUUUAUUUUAUUUUUCUGUUUAUUAGAAUAAAUGUUAAUAUAAUAUUUUGAAAAGUCACACCCUUGCCCUUUUGUAACAUCUCAAUGUUUAGGUACUUCUAAGUUCAUCCAUAUAAUUAUAUUUCAUGUCAAAUUGGUCCCUAAGUCCAAGAAUUAUGUUUUGAAGCCCUAGUGACAAUUUUGUAAAUUGGGCAGGAGGACUACGCCAAGCGUAGACGGCAAGACGCGCCCUAGUACGUUGAGCGUACACUUAUGUACGCGGGGCGUACUAAUUUCAGGAGGAAACCCUAAUUUUUAGGGUUUGGGUGGUAUUUAAGCAACAUUAUGGCUCAUUUCUCCCCACCUUUUCAACCCCUACAUCCUUUGAAACGUAUUUGCAAGCCAUAUCCCCCUUAGUGUGUUUUAAGGUUGAGAGUGAAAUCAGGUUAAGCUUUUGGAGUCAUUAGUGUCGGGAUUUCAGGAAGCGUUCAUCUAGUCUCUAGUGGUUGUGCGACCUUUGGAGUGGACUGGUGACUGAUAGCUAGCAAGAUUAGGCAUUGGUAGUUAGCGUGUCUAUCAUGUUAGGGAGGAAGGAAUGGAAAUCCUCCAAUUUUCGCGUGCCGUGAAGACUUAGUCGAAGCAAAGUGGGGGAGAAACGAUCAUGUACUCAGAAGCAGAAGCAGUUUUGAAAAUGGGAUAAGUUCCGCAAUCUUGUUAGGGAGAAAGACGCCCCAAGCGGCCGUAUGAAUUGAGGAUAAUGUGAAUUUGAAGUUCGAAAAACUUGCCAAUAGUGAGAUCACAUUCUCGGAUGUCUGAUAGCAGGUUUCAGAAAAAUUAGGUUGGGAAUUUUAGUCAGGACAUGAAUACAACUUGGGGUACUAGAUCGUGCCUGUAUACACGAUUAUGGGGGGUGUUUAAAUUAGUAGUUAGUGAAAGACCGUGGUCACGUGGAAAGUGUUGUAAGACUGUGGCCUGUAGGAUAGUCGUAGCAUUCACUAGUAGCCAGUCGGCGAGGGAGGUGUUGUAAGACUGCGGGUUAGCCGUAGCAUUAAUCAGUGGCCAAAUAGCAUGAGAAGUGUGGCAAUACUGCGGGGUGUCCCAAGUGUAACAUCCUGAAAUUCAGGUACAACUAUUUAACCCUUCUCUUUUGCCAAGUUGUCAAGAUUAGCCCUUGAGUGGAAAGUGUAGCAAAUGAGUACGUUGGGCGUACUGGGGAGUACGUUGCGCGUACUCAUGCGCUUCAUUUAGACGCGAACUCGCCUAGGUACGCUGGGUGUAGCGGGUCCAGAUGCAAAACCUAAUUUUUGGCUUGUGUACUAUAUAAGGAAUGUUAAGGCUUUAUCCUCAACCACCAUAUCAGAUAGUGAAACCCUAAGAGAGCAUUUCAUUCGUCCUAAAGCUUGUGUGUGAGUGUUUUGAGCUAAAAGUGCUUUUGUGUGUUAGUGAAGAAGAAGGAGAGGAGCUUGUGGAGGCUUGGGUUUGAAGUGCAAGUUUGGAUCUGAGUUCUUCAGAGGGAGGAGCUUCAAUUAGAGGUAAAAAGCCCAGAACUUUCCUCUUUAUUUUGGUUUGGUGUUGCAUGGACCAUUUCUAGGGUUAAAGUCCCAAAGGUGGAGACUUUAUGAGCAUAAGGGACUCCAUGGACCUAGACUUGUCCCAUUUCAGUGAUAUAUGUGUUGUAGACCCAUAAAAAUCCCAACUUGGUCGUUGUUAUGGAGUCAUGCUUGAGUUAUGAGCUUUUUAGUGUUGGAACUGGAAUGUUAUGGGUGUUGGUGACCUUUACAGCCAUGCAAAGGCUUAAAGUCACCAACUUUAUUGAUGAAGAGGUUUAGGGGUGGUCAUAUUUGAAAGUUGGACGUGGGUCUUAACCGUUUAAGACCCCAAAAGCUAAGGAGUCUGAAGCUCGGAGUUACGCAGGGCAUAAUCCCAGUACGCGCAGCGUAGGAGGUCGGGUUCCCUGUUUCUGUGAGGUUGUCGGGUAUGCCCAUCAUACAGGUGUGGUACGCGCAGCUUAACCCAGAGAGUUGACUUUUGGUUGACUUUUAGGGUUUGGUCAAUAUUAGGGUCUUUGAGCCAUGAGAGGGGUAAAUGGUCUUUUACCCUUCUUAGAGUGAUAAGAGAGGGAUUAGUCUAUCCUUGAGAGUUGUAUUGAUUAGAGUGCUUAUUCCAUGUGAUUAGGCGGAGGCUAGACCAGAUUCUUACCGAGUUACCCGAGGUGAGUCUUCUCACUAUACUUUAUCUAGAGUGGUAAUUAGAGUUAUAUGACAGAGUAUAUUGUAUGUUAUUUAUGUGAUUGUGAUGCACUGCAUUAUUUCUAUGUGAUUCAUGUCGUGUAUGUUUCAGAGUUUACAAAGUUAGAACUGGAAGGUUCACAGAGUUAAAACCGGAAGGUUCACAGCGUUAGGACCAGAGGGUCCACAGAGUCAGGACCGGAGGGUCCACGGAGUUAUAGCCUCGAGUGGCUAUUAUGUGUUAUAUGUGGUAUUUUGGGGAACUCACUAAGCAUUUAUGCUUAUAGGGUGGCGUUAUGUGUUUCAGGUACCAGUGAGGAUCGCGGGAAGGCGCCGACAUGAUCAGUACACACAUGAGGAGUUUUUAUACAUUAUGAUCUUGGGUUGUGUUUCCAUGGAUUGAUAUAUGUGAUACAAUGACAUUUUUAUAAUAUUUAUUAAGACAAAAUUACAUAAAUGGUCCUCAUGGUUGACAAAAUCGACCAAUUAUGGUCCUUAUGACGAAUUCUUUACACAGAUGGUCCCUGUGGUUUCAAAAUCUUGCAAAGAUGGUCCUUUUGACUAACGACGUUAAAUUUUUCAGUUAAGUCCUAUGUGAAAUGACAUAUUUACCCUUCAUGCAUAAGGACGCUUUAUGUAAUAUGUUUAUACCACACGGACCAUUUAUGUAAUUCUCUCUAUUAUUAAUUAUUUUUUUUAUUUAUUUUAAUUAUAUAUUUAAGUAUUUAGAUUUGUUUAAAUUUAUUUUUUAAUAUAUAUAUAUAUAUAUACACACACACACACACAUGCAUGCUAACAUUUUUUAACGUUUUGCGCAAAUUAUUUUUUCUAAUCUUUUUGAUAUUUUCUUCAAGUAAAUUUUUUAAUGUUUUUUAUUUUGACGUUUUAUUCGAAUAUUAUUUUUUUUGUUUGACGUUAUGUUCAAAUACAUUUUUUAACAUGUAGUAUGUUUAUAUUUGUUAAAGGAUUUCACGGCUAUUGUAAUUAUAAUUCGUAACUUAAUUCACUUUCAAUUAUGUUUUCAUUUUUUUUUCAUUUAUCAGGUUAUAUAAUUAUUAUUUUUUAAUUCAAAUAUUUAACUAUAUAAGGUUGUAUAAUUAUUAUUUUUGUAAACUAAUUUAUUAACAUUUUUUAUAAAAAAGUGUAAAAUGUUUGUUAAACGUGAAUAUGAUUAAUAUAGAUUAGGUAGACAUAGGCUACGCUGAGACCGCCUCACAACGUUGCCGAGAACGACCGGGUCAUUUCACAUUGGAUUUAAAUGUAAUUAUUUCGAGUUAUUAUUUUUUUGUUUUUAGCAGUGUUGUAAAAAAUCACAACUAGGUCCCGAUUAAUCUCAGAUUAAUCCCUAAGCGCUACCUGACCGAUUAGAGGCCCUUGCGUUGUGAUUUUUUAUAACACUGCUAAAAACAAAAAAAAUAAUAACUCGAAAUAAAUUCAAUGUGAAAUGACCUGGUCGUUCUCGGCAACGUUGUGAGGCGGUCUCAGCUCAGCUUAUGUCUACNUUGGUCGUUCUCGGCAACAUUGUGAGGCGGUCUCAGCUUAGCUUAUGUCUACCUAAUCUAUAUUAAUCAUAUUCACAUUUAACAAACAUUUUACACUUUUUUAUAAAAAAAUGUUAAUAAAUUAGUUAAUAAAAAUAAUAAUUAUACAACCUUCUAUAGUUGAAAAAUGUAUUCAUAACGUCAAAAGAAUAAAUAAAUAAAUAAAUAAUAUUCGAAUAAAAAGUCAAAAUAAAAAACAUUAAUAAAUUUACUUGAAGAAAAUGUCAAAAAGAUUAGAAAAAAUAAUUUGAGCAAAACGUUAAAAAAUGUUAACAUGUAUAUAUAUUAAACAAUAAAUUUAAACAAAUCUAAAUCCUUAAAUAUAUAAUUAAAAUAAAUAAAAAAUAAUAAAUAAUAGAGAAAAUUACAUAAAUGGUCCCUGUGGUAGAAACAUAUUACAUAAAGCGUCCUUAUGCAUGAAGGGAAAAUAUGUCAUUUCACAUAGGACUUAACUGAAAAAGUUAACGCCGUUAGUCAAAAGGACCGUCUUUGCAAGAUUUUGAAACCACAGGGACCAUCUGUGUAAAGAAUUCGUCAUAAGGACCAUAAUUGGUCGAUUUUGUCAACCAUGAGGACCAUUUAUGUAAUUUUGUCAUUUAUUAAUGAAAGUGUGAUUUUAAAAUGUGAAAAAUUGUUUGAAAUUUUUGGUGUUACAAGUUGGUAUCGGAGUCUUGGUUUGAGGGAUUCAUGUGCACCUUCGGGCGUAUUUGAACUCAAACUGAGGAUUUGAGAGAUUUUUCAAAAUAAAAUAACAAAAUUUUCUCAACAAGUAAAAAGUUUUUGAAAAGAGCAGAGCAGAGUAGUGUGUACGAUCAGCCAACGCCCAAACGGUGAUUUCCCAAAAUACAUUUAUAUUAUGUAUUAUGAGAUAUGAGAUAAUAUGUUAUGCAUGCUAGAGUAGGCUAGGUAUUCUUAUUAGGGAUAGAGUUGUCUGAUUUGUGAUGCCUUAGCCUAGGGGUUUUGCUACUAGGAGAUGCUUGAGAGUGAGUAGAUAGCAGCGAUGAGCUUAUGAGAGAUCUGCUAGAGAGUAGACUAUGCAUAGAGAGAGUAGAGUACUUGGGACUUGGGAUCCUAGGAGGAGGACUUGGGGUGAAUAUUGAUUCGGUGUGGACGGUAGUAUUGGUCCCGUACUACCAAAGGCACCAGAUCAGUGCACAGCCCAAGUAAGAAUCCUUAGGGUACCAGGGAUCGAGUAGGAAUGGGAUAUCGAGUGUGAGUACACUCGAGCGAGUCUCUGAUAUUUUGUGUUGUAUUUCAGAGAGACAUCAUGGUUGGGACGCGCCACACACCUGAGAGCAGUGGUGUUAGCGAUGAGGAGAUCCGCAGGUUGAUUCACGAGGAAGUUGUUGCUGCCAUCCGAGCCGAGAUACCAGAGAUGUUUGGGUCUAUCAAGACCACCCUUAUCGAGACUUUUGACGAGCGUUACGCUACUCUUACUGAUGUUGUUGUUGCUGCGGCCACCGCAGUCGUUGCUGCUGCAAGGCCACAAAGGGGGUGACUUGUUGCUGUACCGAGAGUUCAGCAACACGAAGCCACCAGAGUUUGAUGGGACACAGGAUCCGAUCCCUGCGAUGAGAUGGAUUUCUGAUAUUGAGGGUUGCUUCUAUACGUGUUCUUGUCCAGAGCAUCUGAGAGUUCGGUUCGUACUGAACCAGCUUCGCUUGGGGGCGAAGGAUUGGUGGAAGUUUAUGACAGCGCGCUAUUCUUCUGCAGAGCUUUCCGUGGUGACCUGGGAGAGGUUCACCGCUAUGCUUCGUGAUGAGUACGUUCCCCCGAUGGAAAGGGAACGUUUGGCCCAGGAGCUCUUGACCCUCAAGCAAGGUACCAAGUCUGUUACAGUGAUCACCAGGAUGUUCCAUGAGGGGCGAUGUUCUGCCCUGAGCACGUGUCUUCCGAGCAGGCACGCAUGAGUCGAUAUUUGAGCAUCUUAAAGAGAGACAUCCACGAGUUCGUGGCAGACUCGUCGUAACGGACAUUUGCCGAGCUUCGGGCAAAUGCCCGGAAGAGGGAGAUUGAGCUCGAGACCCAGGCCAGGGAGGAGGCUGAUGGGUUUUGGUCCUAAGAACAUCCUAUGUGCUCAUACAAACCCUAACGCUUGGAUCUAGGUUUCUCUAUUGUACAUGCAAGUUAUCCAAGACUAUAAACCCUAAUUCUAGCAUAUAAGUAAUCAUAUUAACAUGAGAAUAGAUUUUUAAUAUUACCUUGAUUGUUAUGUAGCAAUAACAAUCAAAUUCCUCCUUGUAUUGACUUUAGAAAGCAUAGAGUCACAAUUGUCACUUCUCUAAUGGUUCACAAACACCAUAAGCAAGAGGAUGAAGAGGAGAGAGGAUGGAGGGUGCCCAAAAACGUCUACAAACCCUAGAAUAAGUCAUAGCCACGUUUUUGGUCAUAAGGGAUCUCUUUAUAUAGGAGGCAAUUAGGGUUAUCUAACAAGGAAACCCUAAUUUGGAUGCUUAAGCCCUAAAGAUCGGAAGAAGCCCUUUCCUUAAGGCCUUGGACGAUUUCAUAUGGGCUUCCCCCAUAGAAUUCGUCCACCUUAUAAUAAAAGGCAAUCCAUGGCCCAAAUUGCAAUUAUCUUAUAAUUACAAUUCCAGUCCCUUAAGUUUAAUUAAUCUCUUUUAGUCACAAAACUAAUUACUAAUUAAUUAUUGACUAAUAUUAAUUAAACAAUAUGAUUUCUCCUUUAAUAUAUUAUUCUCAUAAUAUAUUAAUAAAUCAUAUUUAAUCCUUUCUCUCCAUAAUUCAUCCUAUCAAGUUGCUUUGGUGAAGGCAACCCAAAAGGACCAUGCACCAUCGGGUCAAGUACAUACCAAAAUAGUUAUGGACUUAGACACUAAUCCAACAGUCUCCCACUUGGAUAAGUCUAAUAACUAUUAUGCGUAUGACUUCAGAUCCUGAUCUGCAAUCGUAGCUUUCCAAAGCCGCUGUCAACUCUGAUCCUAUCAGAUACGCGUGUCCUUAGAUAAGGGAUCAUAUAUUCCUCCAUUCUAGAUAUCAUAUGAGAUAUGAUUUCAAAUCAUUCUCUUUGUACUAUAUCUCGAUUCCCGAUUUAUGACGACUGACUAAUUGAACAAAUCAAAUUAGCCCUAGCCCGGCCGAGCAUUUACGUUUGUCAUCACUAAAUCAUCGAGGGGCCCAAAGAUAUCGCUUUUAUCCUACUUUGGAUAAAAGGAACGGAUAAACUUUGAUACAAUGCUUGCUUGUACUCACGCACCGGAUCACACACAACAAUAUGUUUUAUAACACCAAGUUACUAGUGCGUUUACAUAUUAUCAAUGUGCAACCGAUUUGCAAGAUACAACUCACACAUCUCGGUUUCAAGAAUAUAAGAUGUUAUCGUCUCACCAAUCACUCGUGAUACAAUUCAUGGAGUGAUCCAAGUGAGCGUGGGUUUAAUCCAAUGCUCAAAUCAUAUUCAUAAGCACUCAUGAACGUUGCAGCAAACAUUUGCUUAUGUCUAAUACUCUUUCAGACAAUCCACACACCAAUUCACGACAGUCUUCAUUCAUAUAUACUUCCAACAUAUGAACGACUGUGGCCCGUUCGAAUAAUUCGAUUAUUCUUAAUAAAUUCAAUUAUUCUGGAAGCUAAAACAUGCAAAUGUGAAACACAAGAAUAAUACUAAUCCCAUAUGGCCUCAAACCUUUGAGUACAAAUAAAACUUCUUUUAUUUAUCACCAUAUCGAUUACUCAUUAUUUGUCGUUUCAGGUAAUCAACUUCUUACUUGAAUUAUUACACUUGUCCCAUGCUCUUAGCAUGCACACAAUGUUUACCUAUGGUUCUUACUUUUGUAAAAUAGAUCAAAUUGAACACAUUUCCAAUCAUUCUCAUUUCAGAACUCCAAAUCCUUUUUCAUAAGCGUGAGAAUAUCAAAUUAUUGUUACUU